rnacentral:rRNA from 1 species
UACGUAGGUGGCAAGCGUUAUCCGGAAUUAUUGGGCGUAAAGCGCGCGUAGGCGGUUUUUUAAGUCUGAUGUGAAAGCCCACGGCUCAACCGUGGAGGGUCAUUGGAAACUGGAAAACUUGAGUGCAGAAGAGGAAAGUGGAAUUCCAUGUGUAGCGGUGGAAUGCGCAGAGAUAUGGAGGAACACCAGUGGCGAAGGCGACUUUCUGGUCUGUAACUGACGCUGAUGUGCGAAAGCGUGGGGAUCAAACAGGAUUAGAUACCCUGGUAGUCAAGGGCG